AUUGAACGCUGGCGGCAUGCCUUACACAUGCAAGUCGAACGGUAACAGGUCUUCGGAUGCUGACGAGUGGCGAACGGGUGAGUAAUACAUCGGAACGUGCCUAGUAGUGGGGGAUAACUACUCGAAAGAGUGGCUAAUACCGCAUGAGAUCUACGGAUGAAAGCAGGGGAUCGCAAGACCUUGUGCUACUAGAGCGGCCGAUGGCAGAUUAGGUAGUUGGUGGGAUAAAAGCUUACCAAGCCGACGAUCUGUAGCUGGUCUGAGAGGACGAUCAGCCACACUGGGACUGAGACACGGCCAAGACUCCUACGGGAGACAGCAGGGGGGAAUUUUGGACAAUGGCCGCAAGCCUGAUCCAGCAAUGCCGCGUGCAGGAUGAAGGCCUUCGGGUUGUAAACUGCUUUUGUACGGAACGAAAAGCCCUGGGUUAAUACCCUGGGGUCAUGACGGUACCGUAAGAAUAAGCACCGGCUAACUACGUGCCAGCCGCCGCCGUAACAC
rnacentral:rRNA from 1 species